rnacentral:rRNA from 1 species
UGCGGUAUCACGACCGUACUAAGGUAGCAUAAUCACUUGCCGUUUAAUUGAUGGCUGGAAUGAAUGAAUAUACGAGAGCUCAACUGUCUCAUUUUUACCAAUAUAAAUUGACCCUCAAGUGAAGAGACUUGAAUUUUAAAAAAAGACGAAAAGACCCUAUAGAGCUUUACCUGAACUCUAUAUAUUUUAGAACUAAGGUUUAGUUGGGGCAACUAGAGAGUAUCUAAAACCUCUCUUCUAGUAAAUUGAUAAGAUCCGCUUUUGCGAUAAGAAGAAAAAGCUACCUUAGGGAUAACAGGCUAAUCCUCGGCAGAGACC